rnacentral:rRNA from 1 species
CACCAAGGCCAAGAUGCCUAGCGGGUGUGAGAGCACGACCCGCGCCACUGGCACUGUGACACUGGCCAGACUCCUACGGGAGGCUGCAGUCGAGGAUCUUCGGCAAUGGGCGCAAGCCUGACCGAGCGACGCCGCGUGUGCGAUGAAGGCCUUCGGGUUGUAAAGCACUGUCGAGAGAAAGAAAGCCGCAAGGUUGAUCGAUCUCUGGAGGAAGCACGGGCUAAGUUCGUGCCAGCAGCCGCGGUAAGACGAACCGUGCGAACGUUGUUCGGAUUCACUGGGCUUAAAGGGCGCGUAGGCGGGUGAUCAAGUCCGGGGUGAAAUCCUCCAGCUUAACUGGAGAAUAGCCCUGGAUACUGGUCGUCUUGAGGGAGGUAGGGGCAGGUGGAACUUCCGGUGGAGCGGUGAAAUGCGUAGAUAUCGGAAGGAACGCCGGUGGCGAAAGCGACCUGCUGGACCUCUUCUGACGCUGAGGCGCGAAAGCCAGGGGAGCAAACGGGAUUAGAUACCCCGGUAGUCCUGGCCCUAAACGAUGGGUACUAGAUUGUAGACUAAACAUGGGUUUACAGUCGAAGCAAAAGUGUUAAGUACCCCGCCUGGGGAGUAUGGUCGCAAGGCUGAAACUCAAAGGAAUGA